rnacentral:RNase_P_RNA from 1 species
AGUCGGUCGGUCUGUCGCUUGCAUUUUUAUGUAUGAGGAAAGUCCGGGCAACGCAGAGCAUCCUACUUCCUAACGGGAAGCUAUUCGCGAGAGUAGAGUAACGCAGAAGAAAAUAACCGCCUCUUCGGAGGUAAGGGUGAGAAGGUGGAGUAAGAGCCCACCGGUCGGGUGGUGACACAUCGAGCCGUGCGUCUUAGGAGUUGUAAGGUCAUGUAAACCGGCGCCAUGAGGGUUGCUCGCCCCAUGUCGGAGGGUAGACCGCUAGAAUUUAAUGGUGACAUUGAAUCCAGAUAAAUGACAGACACCUCUUUCGGGAGGAACAGAACUCGGCUUACAGACCGACUGCU